GGCGCCGGCCUGGCCGGGUCGGGGUGGGCCCAGGCAUGGUGAGUGAUGUGGGCCUCGGAAAAAGGGUGGUCGUGGGAGAGGAAGCCGCAUUCACAGUUGGGCCGAGUGCCUCCAGGGGCUCAGAGCCACCUGUGUGCUGGGGACAGGGGACACCUUGUUUUCCCAGCACCUGCAGACAGAGCAGUUUGUGGCCAACCACAAGCUGGGACAGUUCAUCCCCAACUUUUCCCCUGAGAGAACCCUCAGUGUUGGGGAGUCAGGCCCAACUUGCUCAUUUGCAAGAGGAAGAAGCAGGCCCAGAGAGGGGCAGUGACUGGCCCUAAGUCACACAGCCAGCUUAUGGCAGUGGCAAAGCAGGCAUCUGGCUCUUCAAGCCGGGACUCUUGCCCCUGGGGUGGAGCCUGGGGAUGUCCUCAACGCGGGGUAAGUCCUCUAGGAGCUCCCAGCAUUUUCCCGAUGCGGAGGCACUGAAGGCUGGGCCUGCUGCGCUCGCAGCUGCUCUCGGUACCACUCCAGGAGAGUGCGGGGCCCCGUCUGGGGCUGCCCCUGUCGGGACCAUCUCUCAUCACUGUCUGAUACGGCGAGGCCACAGGAGGAAGUGGUACAGUGUUGGUACUUGGAGGCAGACUUGUCUGGGGCCAGAUGCGAGCUCUGCCCCUCACUGACCGUGACCUGAGGCGCCCUGUGUCUCAGCUUCUUCAUCUGUAAAAUGGGAGUGAUGAAAAUCAGGCCUAUUUUGUAAGGUUAUUAGAAGGAUUUGAUGAGUUAACAAGAAGGAGUACUUAGAAGAGUGUGUGGCAGAUAGUAAGGUUUACUGCUCAUCUUAUAUGUAUUCAUUCUUCUGGUAACUUUGUCAAGGCUUCUCCCCUGGGAGCUGAUUCAGUGGGGCUAUCAAUCAUAGUCACCAACCCUGCCCUGCCCUCAGGGGCCUGUGAGUCACUGCGCCCUACUGCCCAGUCACUGUGUUAAUGAGGAACACAACCCUGAUGAGGGUCUUUUGAGUCCCUGGAUCCAGCUUGACCUGACGGUAGUUCCCAAUAGGUAAGACGAUAAAUUCCCCAUUUUGCUUCAGCAAGUUUGAAAAGGGUUCUGAUCCAUGUGUCCUCUUUGCUUCAUAGAGCAAGGGAGUUCCCCCCAAGGCAGCCCCCUUCUCCCAUGAACCGGGCCUCUCAGCCUUGGCUUUGAUCCAGCCCUGCGCUGGGCCAGUGACCCACUCUCAGGGAGUCGAGGGUGGUUCUCUGUUUGAGCUGUGAUUGGCGCUCACAACAAGAGGAAACAAACUCUCGGGGUGGGAGGGGCGCCUGGUGGCUUAGUCAUUUAAGAGAUUAAGAGUCAUUUUAAGAGAUUAAGCUCAGGUCCUGCUCUGCAGGUCUUGGAUCAAGUCCAGAGUCAGGCUCCCCACUCAGCAGGGAGUCUGUUUCUCCCCUCCCUCUGCCCCUCCUCCCGCGCAUGCUCUCUCUGGCUCUCUCUCUCUCAAAUAAAUAAAAUCUUAAAAAAAAAAAAAAAGAGGAAACAAACAUGUAUAAAGUGCCUCGAUGUGCCACGUAGGGUGCUGGGCUUUAAGGUUACUUGAGGUGUAUUUUACAGGUGAGGAAAUGGUGGUUCAGAGAGGUCAUCGGACUUGCCCAAGCCCACGCAGCCUGGAGGAGGAAUCACUUCAGUGCAAACUCAGGGAUGUUUGCUGGGCCUGAAACCCGGUUGAGAUGGAGCGUUUUGAAAAGAGAAUCAUAUUGGAGUAGUGGCGUCUCCUUUACUUUUGGUGACCCUGUUUUGCUUCACGCUUCGGGCAGCCCCACACGGCGUCCAGCAUCCAGGCAGAUGCGGGAUCCCAUUCCUUGAGCAGGAGCGGAGACCGACUGGGCGUCACGCCGGUGAAGGGUGACGGAGAGAAAGCGCACUGCGGGCUCGGCGGGGAGUUUCCUUCUUUCUUGCUUUCCCCCUUGCUGGCCUGGCUGGCAGGAGUGUCCGCUUUGGAAAGAAUCUUCAUCCUGUUGAUGUCCUUGAACUUCGGACCACUCGGUGCCCGCCCCCCAGUCCCUCCUGGGCUUCCAGCGACAUCAGAUGAAAGACAGCCUUUUUGUGGGAGCUGAACACAUCCAGAUGCAUGCGCCAGCCAUUAGAGGUAGGGCCUUUCGUCCUCCUCGAGGAACAGACUCAGGGACACUAAGUCACUUCCCCUGGGGACGCAAGGUAAGAAAGUGGCGGAGCCGGGAUUCCCAGCCAGGCCUGUCCGCCUCCACAUCCCGUAUAUUCAGCCGCCCCUCCACACUUGCUUUGGUUUUAACUGUCUUGAUUUUACACGAGGCUGAGGGCCUGGGGGAAGGCGCCGCUCAGCCAGCUCUAAGCCCAGCGGGGACAGUGUGUCAUGGACAGUGUGUCCAGGACUUGGACACGCAUUAGCUGACUUGCUCCUCCACAGUAACCCUAACACUGAUGAGGAGCCUGAGCCCCACAGAGCCUGGCAGCUGUGUGCGGAGCCAUGCAGACUGUGAGGGGCGGAACUGGGCUUCAGAAAUCGCUCGGUCUCACUCUGGAGCCCUCCCACCCUGGCCCUAGCCCCCCCCCCCAUCUAUAAUAUGCGCUCACGGGGUUGGACUUUGAUGAUGACUGUUGUCUUCCUGGAGCCCAGCAGUACCUGGCUCUUGGAGGGACCUCAGCAAGUGUUUGUUGAAUGAAUAAAUGAGCCCCAGCAGGAACCUGAGGCUUGAGAAGCCCAAAGAAAAGCCAGGGGACUGCAGACCCUUCCCAACUAGCCUCAGUUUAGGCAGCCAACUCCUACAACUCAAUAGCAAUGAGACAAACAACCUGAUUUGAAAGUGGGCAAAGGACCUGAAUAGACAGUUCUCCAAAGAGGACAUACAGAAAGGCAGUGAAGGUAUGUGAAAAGACGCCCCACACCACUGGUCACCAGGGAAAUGCAAAUCAAAACGCAGACGAGAUGCCCCUCACACCUGUCAGAGCACCUGGUAUGAAAAAAAAAAAAGGUGACGGGUGUUGGAGAGGAUGUGGAGACAGGGCAACCCUCGUGCCCUCUGGGUGGGAAUGCACACCGGAGUUCCGCUGUGGAAGACAGCGAGGUGGUUCCUCACAAAAUGAAAAGCAGAACCACCACGUGACCCAGCGGUCCCACUUCCAGUAUCUGUAUCCCCCAAACCGGAAGACAGGGUCGGGAAGAGAAUCUGCAUUCCCUCAGCAAGAAUCACACCACCCGAGAUGCAGAGACCAUGUGCACGUCCAGCAGAUACGCAGUGGAGAAAAUGGCAUCUGUACCCACGACGGUUUUUCUGCCUUUAAAAAGCAGGAAAUCCCCCCCAAAAUAAAUAAA